UACGUAGGGUGCAAGCGUUAAUCGGAAUUACUGGGCGUAAAGCGUGCGCAGGCGGUUGUGCAAGACAGAGGUGAAAUCCCCGGGCUUAACCUGGGAAUGGCCUUUGUGACUGCACGGCUAGAGUGUGUCAGAGGGGGGUAGAAUUCCACGUGUAGCAGUGAAAUGCGUAGAGAUGUGGGGGAAUACCGAUGGCGAAGGCAGCCCCCUGGGAUAACACUGACGCUCAGGCACGAAAGCGUGGGGAGCAAACAGG
rnacentral:rRNA from 1 species